AAAUUGAAGAGUUUGAUCAUGGCUCAGAUUGAACGCUGGCGGCAGGCCUAACACAUGCAAGUCGAGCGGUAGCACAGAGAGCUUGCUCUCGGGUGACGAGCGGCGGACGGGUGAGUAAUGUCUGGGAAACUGCCUGAUGGAGGGGGAUAACUACUGGAAACGGUAGCUAAUACCGCAUAACGUCGCAAGACCAAAGUGGGGGACCUUCGGGCCUCAUGCCAUCAGAUGUGCCCAGAUGGGAUUAGCUAGUAGGUGGGGUAACGGCUCACCUAGGCGACGAUCCCUAGCUGGUCUGAGAGGAUGACCAGCCACACUGGAACUGAGACACGGUCCAGACUCCUACGGGAGGCAGCAGUGGGGAAUAUUGCACAAUGGGCGCAAGCCUGAUGCAGCCAUGCCGCGUGUGUGAAGAAGGCCUUCGGGUUGUAAAGCACUUUCAGCGGGGAGGAAGGCGUUAAGGUUAAUAACCUUGGCGAUUGACGUUACCCGCAGAAGAAGCACCGGCUAACUCCGUGCCAGCAGCCGCGGUAAUACGGAGGGUGCAAGCGUUAAUCGGAAUUACUGGGCGUAAAGCGCACGCAGGCGGUCUGUCAAGUCGGAUGUGAAAUCCCCGGGCUCAACCUGGGAACUGCAUUCGAAACUGGCAGGCUAGAGUCUUGUAGAGGGGGGUAGAAUUCCAGGUGUAGCGGUGAAAUGCGUAGAGAUCUGGAGGAAUACCGGUGGCGAAGGCGGCCCCCUGGACAAAGACUGACGCUCAGGUGCGAAAGCGUGGGGAGCAAACAGGAUUAGAUACCCUGGUAGUCCACGCCGUAAACGAUGUCGAUUUGGAGGUUGUGCCCUUGAGGCGUGGCUUCCGGAGCUAACGCGUUAAAUCGACCGCCUGGGGAGUACGGCCGCAAGGUUAAAACUCAAAUGAAUUGACGGGGGCCCGCACAAGCGGUGGAGCAUGUGGUUUAAUUCGAUGCAACGCGAAGAACCUUACCUGGUCUUGACAUCCACAGAACUUUAGAGAUGGAUUGGUGCCUUCGGGAACUGUGAGACAGGUGCUGCAUGGCUGUCGUCAGCUCGUGUUGUGAAAUGUUGGGUUAAGUCCCGCAACGAGCGCAACCCUUAUCCUUUGUUGCCAGCGGUCGGCCGGGAACUCAAAGGAGACUGCCAGUGAUAAACUGGAGGAAGGUGGGGAUGACGUCAAGUCAUCAUGGCCCUUACGACCAGGGCUACACACGUGCUACAAUGGCAUAUACAAAGAGAAGCGACCUCGCGAGAGCAAGCGGACCUCAUAAAGUAUGUCGUAGUCCGGAUUGGAGUCUGCAACUCGACUCCAUGAAGUCGGAAUCGCUAGUAAUCGUAGAUCAGAAUGCUACGGUGAAUACGUUCCCGGGCCUUGUACACACCGCCCGUCACACCAUGGGAGUGGGUUGCAAAAGAAGUAGGUAGCUUAACCUUCGGGAGGGCGCUUACCACUUUGUGAUUCAUGACUGGGGUGAAGUCGUAACAAGGUAACCGUAGGGGAACCUGCGGUUGGAUCACCUCCUUA
rnacentral:rRNA from 1 species